UGUCUUUAAGUGCAAGCGAUGGGAAUUGCUAACCUUGGCUAAGAAAAUUUCAUUUCCCCCAUCAUGCUAAAUGGUUCUGGUCGACAUAUGUUUGUUAUCAGAGAGAGGUGCUAUGAACACAGAGCCAUUUUCUUAGCAGCUCUUUGACUCUGUGUUACCAUAGUCCCACACGGCAUUGGUCCUUUCCCGUUGGGAAGUCAUGAAUAAGAGACUAUGAAGCUUGCACGUCAGAUCUUCCUCAAUUAAUCCACCAUUAGCAUGUUUGGGAUCCUCUACUGGAUGGUUAACAGCAGCUUUGGUAACUGUAUGCUGUCCAUACCCAAUUAUGCUCUGCUAAAAAUGAACUCUGCAGAACAACCUUCCUGAGCUGUCAGUGUCUCCCGUUUUCCUAUUUUAACGCUUGUGUGUAGUGGCAGGCGACAGAUGGUGUAGAUCAGAUCGAUUUGAUUGCAUUAGGCGAUUUUUUUUUCCUCCUCUCCCCCCCGACUCCUUUUCUGGAAGCCCACAUUCAUCUGAGAGGCGAUCGCCGGGGACAUGGGAAGCAAGAGCAGCCGCCGAUGUGUGAAAGCAACGAGACAUGGCCAGCCAGAGGCGCCGGGUCCCUUCCCGGGGUUUGUUAACAUGGUAAUCCGGCACCAGGAGAGAAAGCUGCUUGCUGCUGCCCACAGCCCGUUCCCCAUCACACAUCAGAUGACUCCCUGGUUUUACACACAGUUGGAGUUCUGCUCGAAGCCUGGAUUUAAAGGGAAUCUGUUGCUGCGUGUGACAUCGCUUGCAAGCUCCCAGAGAGAACUGAUGGAGCACACGGCCAGGGAAUAGGAUGCCAGAGAAGCACAGAGGGAGAAACCAGGCGGUCACCAGGAUGGGAAGGUUCAGCGUCCAUUGGAUAUGGGACAAGAUCACUCGGCAACCCUUGUGGAUUCUCCUUCUUCUAGAGGGGAAUUAUAGUUAUGGAUUUAUUGUCCCGGUGCAGCACUUCCACCGCCACCACCAGCAACAGCAGCAGCUUUCUGACUCUCUUCGGUGACGGGUAUUCUUGGGUGGAUAAUACGGAUUACGUUGUUAUUGCUUAAGAAUACGCGUAGUCGAGGAGAGUACCGGCGGCGGGCAGGCAGGCAGGCAGCGCGACCGCCCCCAGCCCACCAGCUGGCUCCUAACCUCCUCUAGUUGCCAAGCCUAAGUCUCCCGGACUAGCCCAUCUUCCUUCCUCAUCAUGCCAAAUGACCCAUGGAAAGCCACAGAUCUUCAGUGUGUGGGGACAACCGAACGUCGGCAACUUCUGGAAAUGCUGCUACAAGGUGAGCCUCGCACCCUGCCUAUGUUCUGUGCUCCCAGAUGUUUGGCUCCGUGAUGGCAGAAGAAACAUCUGGAGUUCUGCUGUUCCCACGGGACCCACAGCUACCAGGCCCUGACCCACUGCAACUGCUUCUAGCAUCUUCUGGUGGAGAUGCUGCUGGGGCUGGCUUUGCCCUGCUUGCUGCUGUCUGCUUGUCUUAUCCUUCUGAGUUAUGCCCCAGCCCACUCCUGUCGUGUUGUGCAUCUGCCUCUGGGCUGUGUUGAGUUUUCAAUUAUCCCCAUGUACAGAUGCUAUGUAAAACAGCGUGCAGGGCUUGAGCAGGCUGAACACAGUAGAAAUACACUUAAAUAAAGAGUACUGCUGUAAUAUCAGGAGGCUGAUUGGAAGCACAAGAUAGAAGUGUCAUAUCCUGCAGCUUUUAUGUUGGUAGAUAUAGAUUUCAACCAGUAGAGUCUAUCUAUCCAACAAAUAACAACCAGACGAAAUGGAUCUGGGUGUCUUCAGUUGUGAGCAACUGAUACGCUUUCGCCAGUAAACGGAGGACGUGGUAAACUGCCACAAGACAGGCUUUUGAGAUACCUACAAAUAUAAUCAGACAUGUAAUAUGUGGUAGUGUCUAUGUGUAACUUAGAGAAGCUCCCUGGGGUUGGAACUAGAUGAUCUUAAGGUCCUUUCUAACCAGUCUAUGAUUCUAUGAAUCUACUCACAAUAUGUUUAAAACAUACAUCAAGAGAGCUCUGACCUCAGAGAACUGAUGUGUGGUUCCACUGGCAACUCCAGAUUCAGACAUGGAAACAAACAGCAAGCGUAGGUCUCCAUGUCAGUAUGUGUACAAGCAGUAAAAACUCCCCCAAAUGAGGUACCAUAAUUCCUAGGUGGGGGGAAAAUGAUAUGACAAAAGAGGGACAAAUAAGCAUAAAAUACGCUAAUGUAAAAUGUGCCUGUUACUAACCUCUAGAAGAGCUCAACAGCUCGAAUUGUAGAAUGUGGUAUGUAGACAAAUAUAAAGAGAGCAACACAUUAAGUGUGUUUUUCUCCAGAGCAGAAUGAAAUAGGCAUACAGUGCAAAUUAUAAUAUUUAGUACUUUCAGGGCAAAUUCUAGUUGAGGAUCACGAAGUAAUUUGAAAGUAUUAAUGAAUUAGCCUCACAGCUAGCUUUCAGGUAGAUAAUAAUGAUAAUUAUUACUAUAAAUACAUAUUAUUAUUAUCAUUCUUGCUCCAAAGAAGUGAAAAUUGAGGCCUAGAGAAUUUAUACAUUUGUCCAAAGUCUGUGUUUUAUUCCUGUAACCAUCCUCCUCUAGAACUAUUAUAUAUCAAGUUGAUUAUUUCCCACAUACUGCAUGAGAUAUACGAUGCAGUUUAUGAGCUCUAAACCCCAACCAGCUGAGCUCCUUUACAAAACAGUGCCUGUGAACAUCUCCAUUUGCAUUUGAAUUCUCAAGCAGCAACAAUCCUGCUUAAAAAAAAAAAAAAAAGCUAUAAAGAAAAAAGGAAUCAUGAAAAUCAGUAGAAAAUCU